AGUGAACGCUGGCGGCAUGCCUAACACAUGCAAGUCGAACGGAAGCACAGUAAGAGUUUGCUCUUACGGGUGGCGAGUGGCGGACGGGUGAGGAAUACAUCGGAAACUAAUUUUUCGUGGGGGAUAACGUAGGGAAACUUACGCUAAUACAGCAUAUGAUCUACGGGUGAAAGCAGUAGAUAAUCGGACCUUGCGCGUUUGAAUGAGCCGAUGUCGGAUUAGCUAGUUGGCGGGGUAAAGGCCCACCAAGGCGACGAUGCGUAGCUGGUCUGAGAGGAUGAUCAGCCACACUGGAACUGAGACACGGUCCAGACUCCUACGGGAGGCAGCAGUGGGGAAUCUUCGGCAAUGGGCGCAAGCCUGAUCCAGCCAUACCGCGUGGGUGACGAAGGCCUUCGGGUUGUAAAGCCCUUUUGUUGGGAAAGAACAGCUGCAGGUUAAUCCCCCGCUGUUCUGACGGUACCCAAACAAUAAGCACCGGCUAACUUCGUG
rnacentral:rRNA from 1 species